ensembl:lncRNA
AGACCGACAGCAUUAUUCCCCUCCUGAUACCAAUAAACCGUUCGAAAUAAACGCUGCUAGGCUCUGCGUCCUUCUCGAACGCAUCCAAACCCACUGCGCUGCGCGCCACAUCCUGUUACAGACAUGAUUUACAUUACUCAUUUGAGCAAUCUUGGCACCGCGUGGGAGCUCAGGGUGUGUGAGAUGCACGGAUUUAUUGGAGGGACGAACCGGAACAAAGAAAAAGCGAAACUAAAAGCAGAGGCGCACGAGCAGCGGACAAGGACGCGCGCGGUUAGAGUUUUCAGACUGCCAUGUUGAGAUGAGGCUUUGGAUGGACAGACACUGCUGGAUGUGGUUCAUGGUGUGCAUAGGGAUGGUCCUUUGUUAUUCAGCACAAGGAAAUUAUGAACACUAUUUUGAAAUACUGGAGGAUUUAUUGCCAGCAGAUUAUAUGUUUAAGAAGCCAGAAAGCAGAAACUGUGUUGACAAGAAAUGCAACUGUUCUGAAGUGACUGAAAUACUUUGCUGUUUCCUCCAGAGGGAGCAAACUAGAACAUGCAAAAAAAAUUGCAUGCUCCCUAAUUGUGCGACAUGUUGUAACUACACUCAUAAUCUCCAGGAAAACAUAAAGGGACUGCUUAAUGGGAUGAUUUCCUGUCAUGAAUGCAAAGAGCUCAAUUGUACUCUCCUUAAAGAAACACAGAUGGUCAAUUUCACAGAAUUCAGAAGGAAAUAUAAAGAAUGCCAAGACGAGCGGCAAAACUGUACAGUUACACCCACACCAAGGAAAGCUCUGGAAUUCUCCACGGGCACUAUGGGCACUACAAACACUACGAGCAGUACGAACAUUAUGAGCACUACGAGCGCUACGGGGAAUACGAACACUAUGGGGACUACGAGCACUAUGAGCACUAGAAGCACUACGCGGACUACGAACACUACGGGGAUUACAAACACUACGAGCCCUACGAGCACUACGAGGAGUAUGAACACUACGAACACUACGAGCCCUACGAACACUACGAGCCCUACGAACACUACGAGCCCUACGAACACUACGAGCCCUACGAACACUACGAGCCCUACGAACACUACGAGCACUACGCGGACUGCGAACGCUACGGGGACUACGAAGACUACGAGCGCUACGGGGACUACGAGCACUACAAGCAAUAUGCCGCGAGUGAGCACGAUAUUGUAUCCAAGCAGUCCAGCCUCCAGCAAACCAGAACCUUCCUCCACAAGUCUUACAACAGAAUUGCAAACAACAGAUUCAACAGUAACAACGACAAAAUCCCCAACGACAUCCAAAUCACAGUCAGGUAACGGAACCCUGUGCAGUCCGCAGCUCCCAGGAACUGAAAUGUCUAACAUUUUGAAAGCUUCACAAGCAGGUGUGAUUUCAUCACUGACUGCAUUCAUAAUCCUCGUACUGCUUGUAUGCUACCUCUACCUUGAAAACAGACGACUGAAAAGACUGAUGGACUCCGCUGCUGGCAGUGAAGUCGUGUGUAUUUCAGUUCUACGAGAAGGUGACCGUAAUAUCCAGAAUUCUCCAGAGACUGAGGAGUGAACAAAUAAGCUGAUAGUGAAAGUAAAGGGAAGACUGACUGAAACAAGCCUCUGGAAACACUGAUGAAGCUGAUGCUGUGAUAUGUACAGUAGUGGGGAAAAGAACCAUGUAUUCCUGCAUGUUUAAUAAAUGCUGCUGAAAUUGCUAAUAUUGUUACA